rnacentral:rRNA from 1 species
AUACGGAGGAUCCGAACGUUAUCCGGAUUUAUUGGGUUUAAAGGGUGCGCAGGCGGCCAUUUAAGUCAGCGGUUAAAUCGUGGGGCUCAACCCCAUUCUGCCGUUGAAACUGGGUUUCUUGAGAGUGCAAGAGGCGGAUGGAAUUCAUGGUGUAGCGGUGAAAUGCUUAGAUAUCAUGAAGAACUCCGAUUGCGAAGGCAGGCCGCUGGGGCACGUCUGACGCUGAUGCUCGAAGGUGCGGGAAUCAAACAGGAUUAGAGGCCCUGUUAGGCCGCACGGUAAACGAUGAUUACCCGCUGUCGGCGGCAGACAGUCGGCGGCCGAGCGAAAGCGAUAAGUAAUCCAGCUGGUGAGUACGCCGGCAACGGUGAAACUGAAAGGAAUUGACUGGG